rnacentral:sRNA from 1 species
UCUAACUGGAUCAGACCGGACAGCGACAGCAACCUGAGGGAAGAGAAAGCAGGGACGCUCAAGUGGGGAUACAAGUCAAAGGCUUCUGGAUGAACAGAACGUAUCUCGAUGACAGCUGAGUCUGUUCAGUGGAUCGAGGCAGAGCAGAAUAACCAGAAGCAUAGUCGCCCAGAAGAGGUGGCAUGCUCUCCCUUUCUCAGAAUAGUCCUGCGAGCUACAGAAAGGGCUCUCAGAACUUUUGCAGACCGCAAACAUCAAAAGGACCAGAGAUAUUUUUAUAGUGAUUCGGCUGCCCACGGCAAUGCAGUCAACCUUGAUUUUCUUUCAGCCUGGGAAGCGAUCAGCAAAGAGGCUCAGCAAACAGCUUUAACAUCUGAGGCCAAAAAAGAAGCAUAAAAAUUUGCUUUCAUAAACACCUCCUGGGAAGGUUGAUGCCUUAUUUCCUCUUGUUUUUUUCUUUUUUAAAGAAGGCUACCUUUCUUAUUUCCAUGGCUUCAUUUACAUGUCACCAGCCAGGCAGACUCUAUGUUUUUGUUAAAAAGAGCAGAAAAGCCUGUUAAAGUUCAAGACCAUCUCCUCCCUGAGAAAUAAGCAGGAAAGAACUUUCACUGCAAUGAAAAAAAAAAUCAAAGAAACCUCCAUUUGGAAACAGGUUUAUCCUCUCAAAAAUGACUUCUUAAGAGAGGAGACCAGAUCAAGAAUGGAAGACUAGAGGCAGAACCUCAAAGCCAGAAAUGUCUGUCUGAGCCUCAGAGGGGGCUGCUCCACUCUCAGGCACCGGCUUUCCGAGAGCAGCGCGGGGCUGCGGCAGUAAAGUAUGGCGUCAGAAAAAGCAUGGAGAGCUCUUACUUUGAUUACUUUGCACUAAGAUCUAUGAUGAAACUUUAAGCAUGGAAGGGAACUGCUUUAUAACUUGUAAAGACAUAUGUUGAUAUUAAUUUAAAAUCUCACUGCUACAUUGUUACUUUAAAUUAUUGAGAGGGGUCAAGUGCUAUAUCCCAAGCUAUAACCCCAUCUCUUAAGUCAUUUCUCUGUAACAGAACUUGGGUAAUUCUACAGGACAUUUUCUUUUGGGGUAUACUAUUGAAAUUGUAUCUCUGUCCUUCAAUUACCUAAGGUAUUCUUUGGCUGGCUUUAAUAAAAAAAAAAUCUAACAGCAAAUUAGCUGGGCAGGAAGUAGAAAGUGGGACUUUCUGGGAGGGAGAAAUGAACCCUAGAAAGAAGGAGGAGGAAGCUUUUUAUCAGGAGACACCAGAGGAGACUGACUUGACUACAAGUCUGGAAGGUAUAGCUAGUCACAUGGUUGGAUGGGGUUAGUCGAUCAGGUUAACUUAGAUAAGCUAGUUAGGAGUCUGCCCAGUUAGGGCCUAAACUUUGAAAUAUUAGAAGGUCUCUGUGUGGUUAUUUGGAAGAUAGCUGGUUAAGGAAUAAUUACCACCAUAUUAAUUUCCAGCAUUAAUUAAAAUAUAUAGAACAUUAGUCAUUUUAAUCUACAGAUUUUUGAAAAUGAAUUGGAUUUCAGCUACAAGUCUUAUGUCACAGGAAAAUUAUACAUCAAUAACAAAAAUUAUCUUAUGACCAUUAUUAGUAGAAAUAUAGUUAUCAUAGACACUAUUCUCAGGAACAAGAAGAUUUUUUUCCUUGAAAAAUAAAAGGGUCAAACGGUACAACUUCCAUCUUCAAUCAAAAGACACAUUAAACACAGACAUCUUUUUCUCAGUCUCUUUUCAUAAAGUUACUUUUUAAAAGAUUUUCAGCAAAAGUUCAGAGGAGAACAGGACUGACUUAAUAUCAGGAGGCUUUGAAAA